rnacentral:lncRNA from 1 species
GGUAAGCGUUAAGUAAGCUAUAUAUAACAACAGGAUCUGAAUCUUCUAAAGUUAGAGAGUAAAAUGUCAUCUUCUACACUUAAAUAGUUUCUCUUUUAUAUUUAUUCUUGAUUCCACUUAUAAAAUAAAUGGUAAGAGAUCACAUUUUCCUCUUUAAAAUGAAAUUCAAACUUUAGAGAAUCCAAAUCUAUAUCAACAUAAUAUUCUCAUGACUGAAUUAAAAAUAAUAUAGAGCAAACAAAUAAUCUUGUUUUCCUUAUUGGACGGCAGGGUCCUUCUUCUCUACCCCUAAUUAGAUGAUUGAUAGAGUGAUGAUAGAGAGUAAUUGAUGCAGGGCUUGCAUGAUGGUCAUCAUGAGAUUGUGGAAAAAGCAUGCAGCACUGAGGGAAUCCACCACAUACAAAGCUAGCUAGGUCUCCUAUCAGCAACAAAACCCAGCCAUUGAAUUGAGAAAUGAAUGGGUCAAAAAGAGAGACCAAGUAGAGUAGUGGAUGACAGCAGAGUGCAAUGUAGCCAAGCAAUCCCUAAUGAGCAAACAAGCAAGAAGGGUGCAGGAUUAUUAUGAGAGAAUCAGUCAUCUCCUUGAAUGUACCAACAGAGAAGCAUGGUGGCACAGCGGCGUAGGAUGUAGAGACGAGCACGCUGCUCCUUAACCAAAGAAGCACACUUGUUGGUAUAUCGCUUUGACGAUGAUCUUCUUUUUCCUCCUUGCAUGCUUGAGGUAGUAGGCUUCAAAGGGAAAACCCUAAAAACAGAGAGCUUUGGAGCCUUGAGGGCGAAGGAGGGCAAUAUAUAUAUAUAUAUAUAUAUGGUUAAAACUUAAAAGUGGUGUUGCUUGAGAGGUAAGGGCGGUAGUUGUAAGUUCCAAUCAAGGCAGGGGGGAAUGG